rnacentral:rRNA from 1 species
AGCAGCCGCGGUAAUUCCAGCUCCAAUAGCGUAUAUUAAAGUUGUUGCAGUUAAAAAGCUCGUAGUUGAAUUUCGGGAUCAAUAUAUCGGUCGUGCCUCUGGUACGUACUGGUAUCAUUGAUUUCUCCCUUCUGACGAACCAUGAUUUCAUUUAUUUGGUGUCAUGGGGAGUUAGGACUGUUACUUUGAGAAAAUUAGAGUGUUUAAAGCAGGCAUUAGCUUGAAUACAUUAGCAUGGAAUAAUGAAAUAGGACGUUCGAUCCUAUUUUGUUGGUUUCUAGGAUUGACGUAAUGAUUAAUAGGGAUAGUUGGGGGCAUUAGUAUUCAAUUGUCAGAGGUGAAAUUCUUGGAUUUAUUGAAGACUGACUACUGCGAAAGCAUUUGCCAAGGAUGUUUUCAUUAAUCAAGAACGAAAGUUAGGGGAUCGAAGACGAUCAGAUACCGUCGUAGUCUUAACCAUAAACUAUGCCGACUAGGGAUCGGAUGAUGUUAAUUUUUUAAUGACUCA